rnacentral:rRNA from 1 species
AGACCCGAAACCCGGUGAUCUAGCCAUGGGCAGGUUGAAGGUUGGGUAACACUAACUGGAGGACCGAACCGACUAAUGUUGAAAAAUUAGCGGAUGACCUGUGGCUGGGGGUGAAAGGCCAAUCAAACCGGGAGAUAGCUGGUUCUCCCCGAAAGCUAUUUAGGUAGCGCCUCGUGAAUUCAUCUCCGGGGGUAGAGCACUGUUUCGGCUAGGGGGCCAUCCCGGCUUACCAACCCGAUGCAAACUGCGAAUACCGGAGAAUGUUAUCACGGGAGACACACGGCGGGUGCUAACGUCCGUCGUGAAGAGGGAAACAACCCAGACCGCCAGCUAAGGUCCCAAAGUCAUGGUUAAGUGGGAAACGAUGUGGGAAGGCCCAGACAGCCAGGAUGUUGGCUUAGAAGCAGCCAUCAUUUAAAGAAAGCGUAAUAGCUCACUGGUCGAGUCGGCCUGCGCGGAAGAUGUAACGGGGCUAAACCAUGCACCGAAGCUGCGGCAGCGAACGUAUCACUUAAAGCGAUUCAGCGGGUUACGAUUGACGGAGCGAAGCGACGUCAAAGCGUAUACAAAGUCGAGUCGGUUUAAGGAUACGUUCGUUGGGUAGGGGAGCGUUCUGUAAGCCUGUGAAGGUGUGUCGUGAGGCAUGCUGGAGGUAUCAGAAGUGCGAAUGCUGACAUAAGUAACGAUAAAGCGGGUGAAAAGCCCGCUCGCCGGAAGACCAAGGGUUCCUGUCCAACGUUAAUCGGGGCAGGGUGAGUCGACCCCUAAGGCGAGGCCGAAAGGCGUAGUCGAUGGGAAACGGGUUAAUAUUCCCGUACUUGGUGUUACUGCGAAGGGGGGACGGAGAAGGCUAUGUUGGCCGGGCGACGGUUGUCCCGGUUUAAGCGUGUAGGUGUGUGUUCCAGGUAAAUCCGGUUCACUUUAACACUGAGGCGUGAUGACGAGGCACUACGGUGCUGAAGCAACAAAUGCCCUGCUUCCAGGAAAAGCCUCUAAGCAUCAGGUAACAUCAAAUCGUACCCCAAACCGACACAGGUGGUCAGGUAGAGAAUACCAAGGCGCUUGAGAGAACUCGGGUGAAGGAACUAGGCAAAAUGGUGCCGUAACUUCGGGAGAAGGCACGCUGACAUGUAGGUGAAGUGAUUUACUCAUGGAGCU